rnacentral:snRNA from 1 species
ACAAUUUUGCCCCCUUCCUCUUU